rnacentral:rRNA from 1 species
GUUAAGCGACUAAGCGUACACGGUGGAUGCCCUGGCAGUCAGAGGCGAUGAAGGACGUGCUAAUCUGCGAUAAGCGUCGGUGAGGUGAUAUGAACCGUUAUAACCGGCGAUUUCCGAAUGGGGAAACCCAGUGUGUUUCGACACACUAUCAUUAACUGAAUCCAUAGGUUAAUGAGGCGAACCGGGGGAACUGAAACAUCUAAGUACCCCGAGGAAAAGAAAUCAACCGAGAUUCCCCCAGUAGCGGCGAGCGAACGGGGAGGAGCCCAGAGCCUGAAUCAGUGUGUGUGUUAGUGGAAGCGUCUGGAAAGGCGUGCGAUACAGGGUGACAGCCCCGUACACAAAAAUGCACAUAUUGUGAGCUCGAUGAGUAGGGCGGGACACGUGGUAUCCUGUCUGAAUAUGGGGGGACCAUCCUCCAAGGCUAAAUACUCCUGACUGACCGAUAGUGAACCAGUACCGUGAGGGAAAGGCGAAAAGAACCCCGGCGAGGGGAGUGAAAAAGAACCUGAAACCGUGUACGUACAAGCAGUGGGAGCCUCUUAAUGGGGUGACUGCGUACCUUUUGUAUAAUGGGUCAGCGACUUAUAUUCUGUAGCAAGGUUAACCGAAUAGGGGAGCCGAAGGGAAACCGAGUCUUAACUGGGCGUUAAGUUGCAGGGUAUAGACCCGAAACCCGGUGAUCUAGCCAUGGGCAGGUUGAAGGUUGGGUAACACUAACUGGAGGACCGAACCGACUAAUGUUGAAAAAUUAGCGGAUGACUUGUGGCUGGGGGUGAAAGGCCAAUCAAACCGGGAGAUAGCUGGUUCUCCCCGAAAGCUAUUUAGGUAGCGCCUCGUGAAUUCAUCUCCGGGGGUAGAGCACUGUUUCGGCAAGGGGGUCAUCCCGACUUACCAACCCGAUGCAAACUGCGAAUACCGGAGAAUGUUAUCACGGGAGACACACGGCGGGUGCUAACGUCCGUCGUGAAGAGGGAAACAACCCAGACCGCCAGCUAAGGUCCCAAAGUCAUGGUUAAGUGGGAAACGAUGUGGGAAGGCCCAGACAGCCAGGAUGUUGGCUUAGAAGCAGCCAUCAUUUAAAGAAAGCGUAAUAGCUCACUGGUCGAGUCGGCCUGCGCGGAAGAUGUAACGGGGCUAAACCAUGCACCGAAGCUGCGGCAGCGACACUAUGUGUUGUUGGGUAGGGGAGCGUUCUGUAAGCCUGUGAAGGUGGCCUGUGAGGGUUGCUGGAGGUAUCAGAAGUGCGAAUGCUGACAUAAGUAACGAUAAAGCGGGUGAAAAGCCCGCUCGCCGGAAGACCAAGGGUUCCUGUCCAACGUUAAUCGGGGCAGGGUGAGUCGACCCCUAAGGCGAGGCCGAAAGGCGUAGUCGAUGGGAAACAGGUUAAUAUUCCUGUACUUGGUGUUACUGCGAAGGGGGGACGGAGAAGGCUAUGUUGGCCGGGCGACGGUUGUCCCGGUUUAAGCGUGUAGGCUGGUUUUCCAGGCAAAUCCGGAAAACCAAGGCUGAGGCGUGAUGACGAGGCACUACGGUGCUGAAGCGACAAAUGCCCUGCUUCCAGGAAAAGCCUCUAAGCAUCAGGUAACAUCAAAUCGUACCCCAAACCGACACAGGUGGUCAGGUAGAGAAUACCAAGGCGCUUGAGAGAACUCGGGUGAAGGAACUAGGCAAAAUGGUGCCGUAACUUCGGGAGAAGGCACGCUGAUAUGUAGGUGAAGCGACUUGCUCGUGGAGCUGAAAUCAGUCGAAGAUACCAGCUGGCUGCAACUGUUUAUUAAAAACACAGCACUGUGCAAACACGAAAGUGGACGUAUACGGUGUGACGCCUGCCCGGUGCCGGAAGGUUAAUUGAUGGGGUUAGCGGCAACGCGAAGCUCUUGAUCGAAGCCCCGGUAAACGGCGGCCGUAACUAUAACGGUCCUAAGGUAGCGAAAUUCCUUGUCGGGUAAGUUCCGACCUGCACGAAUGGCGUAAUGAUGGCCAGGCUGUCUCCACCCGAGACUCAGUGAAAUUGAACUCGCUGUGAAGAUGCAGUGUACCCGCGGCAAGACGGAAAGACCCCGUGAACCUUUACUAUAGCUUGACACUGAACAUUGAGCCUUGAUGUGUAGGAUAGGUGGGAGGCUUUGAAGUGUGGACGCCAGUCUGCAUGGAGCCGACCUUGAAAUACCACCCUUUAAUGUUUGAUGUUCUAACGUUGGCCCGUAAUCCGGGUUGCGGACAGUGUCUGGUGGGUAGUUUGACUGGGGCGGUCUCCUCCUAAAGAGUAACGGAGGAGCACGAAGGUUGGCUAAUCCUGGUCGGACAUCAGGAGGUUAGUGCAAUGGCAUAAGCCAGCUUGACUGCGAGCGUGACGGCGCGAGCAGGUGCGAAAGCAGGUCAUAGUGAUCCGGUGGUUCUGAAUGGAAGGGCCAUCGCUCAACGGAUAAAAGGUACUCCGGGGAUAACAGGCUGAUACCGCCCAAGAGUUCAUAUCGACGGCGGUGUUUGGCACCUCGAUGUCGGCUCAUCACAUCCUGGGGCUGAAGUAGGUCCCAAGGGUAUGGCUGUUCGCCAUUUAAAGUGGUACGCGAGCUGGGUUUAGAACGUCGUGAGACAGUUCGGUCCCUAUCUGCCGUGGGCGCUGGAGAACUGAGGGGGGCUGCUCCUAGUACGAGAGGACCGGAGUGGACGCAUCACUGGUGUUCGGGUUGUCAUGCCAAUGGCACUGCCCGGUAGCUAAAUGCGGAAGAGAUAAGUGCUGAA